UACGUAGGGGGCAAGCGUUGUCCGGAAUCAUUGGGCGUAAAGAGCGUGUAGGCGGCCAGAUAAGUCCGCUGUGAAAUCUCGAGGCUCAACUUCGAGCUGUCGGUGGAAACUGUCUGGCUAGAGUCCGGAAGAGGAGAAUGGAAUUCCUGGUGUAGCGGUGAAAUGCGUAGAUAUCAGGAGGAACACCGGUGGCGAAGGCGCACAUCUGGCCCAAUACUGACGCUAAAGCGCGAAAGCUAGGGGAGCAAACGGG
rnacentral:rRNA from 1 species